rnacentral:rRNA from 1 species
GGGCCCGCACAAGCAGCGGAGCAUGUGGCUUAAUUCGACGCAACGCGAAGAACCUUACCAAGGCUUGACAUAUGCCGGAAACAUCCAGAGAUGGGUGCCCCCUUGUGGUCGGUAUACAGGUGGUGCAUGGUUGUCGUCAGCUCGUGUCGUGAGAUGUUGGGUUAAGUCCCGCAACGAGCGCAACCCUUGUUCUGUGUUGCCAGCAUGCCUUUCGGGGUGAUGGGGACUCACAGGAGACUGCCGGGGUCAACUCGGAGGAAGGUGGGGACGACGUCAAAUCAUCAUGCCCCUUAUGUCUUGGGCUGCACACGUGCUACAAUGGUCGGUACAAAGGGCUGCGAUGCCGCGAGGCGGAGCGAAUCCCAAAAAGCCGGCCUCAGUUCGGAUUGGGGUCUGCAACUCGACCCCAUGAAGUUGGAGUUGCUAGUAAUCGCAGAUCAGCAUGCUGCGGUGAAUACGUUCCCGGGCCUU